rnacentral:lncRNA from 1 species
GUGCCCCAAAGCUGCCUCACCGUUUCACCUGCCUCCCCUUUGGGUAAAACUCUCCCCUCACUCCCAUUUUAUAGAUAGGGAAACUGCCCAAGGUCCCAUGGCCCUAAGUGGUGGAGCUCGGAUUCCAGGCCAGGUCGGUCUGGCCCACGACUCCUCCAGCAGGGACAGAGGAUGCUCCCACCCAGCAGUCCCACCCAGCACGGGCACAUCGGUCCUGCCCUUCUCUGCAGCUAUCAGUGGGGCAGAGAGGCACGAGUCCCCACUCACCCCACUCACACCAGCCGAGGCCAAGGACCCCCAACAGUGCGUGCUGCCUCCUGGUCUCAGAAUCCGAUGGUCAGGCCUGUCCUCUGCGCUCAGGAUAACAUCUGCAGGAGCACCAUGUGGGUGUGGGAGACCCAGGUGUCUGCGGGGGACAGAAUCCAGUGAAGUUUGCAAGCCCUCAGGUCCUCUCAGGAUUCUGGUCUCCUACACUUUCAGUCCUUCAGAUUCACCUGGAUCUUUCAAAUCCUCGAUCCACUCCCCGGCUUUCACCUCCCGUCCCAUGUCAGCCCCUCCUCCCGCCCGCCGCAGCCACCUCUGACCCCGCCUCCCACUGCUGCUCGUCCAACCCCUCCCCUGGCCACUCUAGCUCCGUUCCAGAGCAGCUUUCUGAAGGCACAAGUCACUCUGCUAGGAUCCCCAGUGCCUCCUCAUUGUCCACAGAAGGUUCGAGCCUUAAAAGCAUUCUGGGCCCUGGAGGAUGGAACCCCCCUCCACCCUGAACCUAGUCUCACUCACUCUGAGCUCCACAGGAUACUCUAGACAAACCCACUUCGUCCCGUGUCCUUCUUCCUCUUCCCCAGGCCUCUGCUCAUGCCAUUUCCUCCGCCAGAGCACAGGAGCUGUCUAGAUCCAGUUCCCUCCCAGGAACAUUCCCUCCCCACCCAGGCUGGGUCGGGUUCCGCUCCAGCCCUGCCGGCCAUAACUAGGUCUCCAUUCUCUGUAUCACCCCUGCCUUAAUGCGCACCUCCCUCACCCUGGCUUCCAGCCUCCAGGACGGUGUCUUGUUCAGAUCUGGAUUCCGGGGCUCGAGCCAGGGUUGGCACAUAAUAAAUCUGCACAAGGUCCUGCCACCACACCACCCGGACCCUCCUGGGCCCUGGCCUGGCACGCGCCUGGGCACAGAGGAAUUGGAUGGGGCUGGAUUGAAUCAGCAGUGUGGCACCGGGGCAGAACAGAGAGCCAAGGUAGUGGCACGGACAGGAAGGAAGGGGGUUCACAUCAGGUUCCCCAAGGACUGGGUACGUCUGGUUUCAAAUCUAGUUUAGCAGUUGCGUGUUUGGCAA